AGUGAACGCUGGCGGUAGGCCUAACACAUGCAAGUCGAACGGCAGCACAGUAAGAGCUUGCUCUUACGGGUGGCGAGUGGCGGACGGGUGAGGAAUACAUCGGAAUCUACUUUUUCGUGGGGGAUAACGUAGGGAAACUUACGCUAAUACCGCAUACGACCUACGGGUGAAAGCAGGGGAUCUUCGGACCUUGCGCGAUUGAAUGAGCCGAUGUCGGAUUAGCUAGUUGGCGGGGUAAAGGCCCACCAAGGCGACGAUCCGUAGCUGGUCUGAGAGGAUGAUCAGCCACACUGGAACUGAGACACGGUCCAGACUACUACGGGAGGCAGCAGUGGGGAAUAUUGGACAAUGGGCGCAAGCCUGAUCCAGCCAUACCGCGUGGGUGAAGAAGGCCUUCGGGUUGUAAAGCCCUUUUGUUGGGAAAGAAAAGCAGCAGGUUAAUACCCCGCUGUUCUGACGGUACCCAAAGAGUAAGCACCGGCUAACUUCGUG
rnacentral:rRNA from 1 species